rnacentral:rRNA from 1 species
AUUGAACGCUGGCGGCAGGCCUAACACAUGCAAGUCGAACGGUAACAGGAAACAGCUUGCUGUUUCGCUGACGAGUGGCGGACGGGUGAGUAAUGUCUGGGAAACUGCCUGAUGGAGGGGGAUAACUACUGGAAACGGUAGCUAAUACCGCAUAACGUCGCAAGACCAAAGAGGGGGACCCUCGGGCCUCUUGCCAUCGGAUGUGCCCAGGUGGGAUUAGCUUGUUGGUGGGGUAACGGCUCACCAAGGCGGCGAUCCCUAGCUGGUCUGAGAGGAUGACCAGCCACACUGGAACUGAGACACGGUCCAGACUCCUACGGGAGGCAGCAGUGGGGAAUAUUGCACAAUGGGCGCAAGCCUGAUGCAGCCAUGCCGCGUGUAUGAAGAAGGCCUUCGGGUUGUAAAGUACUUUCAGCGGGGAGGAAGGGAGUAAAGUUAAUACCUUUGCUCAUUGACGUUACCCGCAGAAGAAGCACCGGCUAACUCCGUG